UAUAAUUGUCAGCUGGGACACAAUGUAACUCUGAAGUCUGGACUGCAAACAACUGAGAUGAGCCAUUCUGCCAACUGGACGAACGGUUUAGAUUUUAAUGGAAAAGAGAUUGCCAGUUUUCAGAACUCUGUUGUCAGAUAUGGAGAUGGCUUCAACAAUUUCUUUCUCAAUAAAACCAACUUAGAUCUGACCAUUAUUCAAGUAACUAAUAACCAAAGUGGAUUUUACUGCUCCGAAAUUAAAUGGAAUCAGUGUCAUCAUAUUAGUCUAAAACAUCAGGUCAAAGUUUAUGAUCCUGUCUCUACGCCCAACAUCACCAACGUGCCUCAACCAGCCCGCAGGUUUUGUGCUGCAAAGUGUUCUGUGAAGAAUGGACCUGACCUAAACCUGACCUGGUACUAUGGAGACAUCAUUAUCAGCAACAUCAGCAACCCAAAAAUCUCCAUCCUCACUUUGCAGAUAGAGAUCCAGAGGGAGGAUAUUUCAAACUACAGCUGUCGGGCACAAAACCCUGUUAGUUUGGAGAUGACACCUCUAAGCUCAGUAUGGCAUCCAUGUCAUUCCUCAACUACUUCUGCAGGUAGGAAUCAUUACAUCUUUAUCGGCCUACUAGGCUUUAUGGUUUUGGUGCUUGGUGCUGGAUG